AACGAACGCUGGCGGCAGGCUUAACACAUGCAAGUCGAGCGCCCCGCAAGGGGAGCGGCAGACGGGUGAGUAACGCGUGGGAACGUACCCUUAUCUUCGGAAUAGCUCCGGGAAACUGGAAUUAAUACCGAAUGUGCCCUUUGGGGGAAAGAUUUAUCGGAUAAGGAUCGGCCCGCGUUGGAUUAGCUAGUUGGUGGGGUAAAGGCCUACCAAGGCGACGAUCCAUAGCUGGUCUGAGAGGAUGGUCAGCCACAUUGGGACUGAGACACGGCCCAAACUCCUACGGGAGGCAGCAGUGGGGAAUAUUGGACAAUGGGCGCAAGCCUGAUCCAGCCAUGCCGCGUGAGUGAUGAAGGCCCUAGGGUUGUAAAGCUCUUUCAGUAGGGAAGAUAAUGACGGUACCUACAGAAGAAGCCCCGGCUAACUUCGUGCCAGCCGCCGCGGUAAAAC
rnacentral:rRNA from 1 species